CUAGUCUCUAUUAGUUCUUUUGCAUUACCAAGUAAUCUGACUUUUGUGUUUCAUACGAUAAUUUAACAAGCCUUGUUUUCAACCUUGAAAUGUCUUAAGGUUAGACAAAGCUUAUACUAUUGGUCCUUAUUUUGUGGUCGGAGGAGGUAUGGUCGCGAGGGAUAGUGGAAGAGAAGAGGAUUUAGACAAACCAUUGGCAUUCGGUGCUCGCUGUUUGUACUCUGCACUCUCUCUUUCGGUGGGGAUUUGUGCAAUUUUGCAGUGGCUUUUGGUGUAGUGCGGCAGAGAUCUAGGCAUUGUCAGAUUUGAUUUGAAUGUCUGCAGAGCUUCGGCGUUCACCAGAUUAGGGUUCUUUCUGUUAUUACAUUUAUGUCAUGACUACCAAACGUGCUUAUAAGCUACAUAUCCUUCUCAGUUAAUUAGGGCUACUUCUGACAUUUUGGUUUUUUUCUGGGAUCUUAUGUCCCUGAAUAAAAUGCUUUAUGUUUUUUUAUGUUGCUUGAUUGUGUGAUCUCUCCAUCUCUUCUUUGGCUUUUACCCACUUUAUUUCGUUUAUUUAUUUAUUUAUACAUUUUCUGUUGUUUUGAUUUAUGGUAAUGUGGGAAUCCCUUUGGAGGUUGGCCUUAACAUUGAUUUGAUCAUAAAGGAAUUUGUGGCGCACUCUGCCAGUAUAAUUGCCUCAAAAUUGGAAGGAAGUCCUUCAGGGUAUUGGUCACAGGAGGAGAAAAUCACAAGGUCAGUCUCUGGGCAAUUGGCAAACCCAAUGCCAUUUUGAGUCUGUAGGGACAUACAAGUGGAAUUGAUUCUGUGUGCUUUGAUGCAUCUGAAGUUUUAGUUCCUGCUGGAGCGGCAAGUGGUACAAUUAAGCUUUGGGAUCUAGAGGAGGCAAAACUUUGCUUAUCAAUUCUUUCAAAUGUUCUUCAUACUUGUUAAAGCAAAAGGAAAGUAGUUAAACUUAAUGACUUGUCUUCACUGUUUUCUAUGUGACGCUUUAAGUUAAUAUGAUGACUUUUGAUGUUGCUAUUUGAAUUUGUGUGUAGUUGUUCGCACACUAACUGGACAUAUAUCCAAUUGCAUAGGUGUCGAUUUCCACCCAUUUGGAGAGUUCUUUGCCUCAGGUUCGCUUGAUUCAAAUAGUAAGAUAUGGGAUAUGAGGAUAUCAGAAAGAAGGGUUGUAUCCACACUUACAAGGGUCACACAUGAAUGAUCCGUGCAAUCAUAUUCACCCCAGAUGGUCGCUGGAUUGUAUCUGGUGGGGAAGACGACACUGUGAAGGCAAACAGCUGUGGGAUCUUACUGCUGGAAAGCUGCUACAUGAUUUCAAGUGUCAUGAGGGCCAGAUUGAUUGCAUAGAUUUUCAUCCCCAUGAAUUCCUUUUGGUAAAAGGCACCAAGCAGGUGUAAACCAGGGAUUACGCGGUGGCCGGACUUAUGGACUCGAGCAUUGUUGCAAAGGAAAGUAAACUAGUUGCUAAACCAGCUAUCUGUGAAACUAUCAAAACCAGACUCUACUGCGUUGAAAGUCCUCCAUUUCUUCCUCCUUUGUAAUUCUAGCGACGAACCUAUCAACCACCUACUCUGCGUAACCAUGUCAAAACCAGACUCCGCGUAGCCAUGGACUGAAUAGGAGAAGAAAUUUUCAGCUGAAUUUCUCUUCUUCAGUCCAAUAUUAGUGUCAGCAUUUUCGAACUAAGACUACACUUUAUGCUAGUCCACUAGUUUCUUACUCUCUAAAUUACUGACCAACUCUGCUUGGUGAAGUAGUUGAUAUCCGGUUGAGUACACGAUUAAUGUAGACCUACCUAAUUAAGACGGCAA